rnacentral:rRNA from 1 species
UACGUAGGGUGCAAGCGUUGUCCGGAAUUAUUGGGCGUAAAGCCCUCGUAGGCGGUUUGUUGCGUCGGCUGUGAAAUCCCGAGGCUCAACCUCGGGUCUGCAGUCGAUACGAGCAAACUAGAGUGUUGCAGGGGAGACUGGAAUUCCUGGUGUAGUGGUGAAAUGCGCAGAUAUCUGGAGGAACACCGGUGGCGAAGGCGGCAUCCUGGACCAAUAUUGACGCUGAGGAGCGAAAGCCAGGGGAGCAAACGGG